UGCCGGAUCAUCUAGUGGUAGGAUGCAAGUUUCUGGCACUUGUCACCGGGGUUCGAAUCCCUGUCCGGCAG
rnacentral:tRNA from 1 species